AUUGAACGCUGGCGGCAUGAUUUACACAUGCAAGUCGAACGGUAACAGGCCGCAAGGUGCUGACGAGUGGCGAACGGGUGAGUAAUGCAUCGGAACGUGCCCAGUCGUGGGGGAUAACUACUCGAAAGAGUAGCUAAUACCGCAUACGAUCUAUGGAUGAAAGCGGGGGACCGUAAGGCCUCGCGCGAUUGGAGCGGCCGAUGUCAGAUUAGGUAGUUGGUGGGGUAAAGGCUCACCAAGCCAACGAUCUGUAGCUGGUCUGAGAGGACGACCAGCCACACUGGGACUGAGACACGGCCCAGACUCCUACGGGGGGCAGCAGUGGGGAAUUUUGGACAAUGGGCGCAAGCCUGAUCCAGCAAUGCCGCGUGCAGGAAGAAGGCCUUCGGGUUGUAAACUGCUUUUGUACGGAACGAAACGGCUCUGGUUAAUACCCGGGGCUAAUGACGGUACCGUAAGAAUAAGCACCGGCUAACUACGUG
rnacentral:rRNA from 1 species